rnacentral:rRNA from 1 species
AUGAAUAUCCUAAGCUGGAACUGCCGGGGGGGGUGGGAACCCUCGGACAGUUCUGAUCUUGUGAGUCUUGUAUAGACUCACUCCCCUAGCAUUGUUUUCCUUUGUGAAACUAGAUAGUCGACAAAUAAAAUGAAGAGGUACCGCUCUCGGUUAGGAUUAAGUGGUUUUGAGGCGCUAGAUAGUGAUGGUCUCAGUGGUGGGUUGGCUUUGUAUUGGCAUGAG